rnacentral:lncRNA from 10 species
CCUCUCUCUCUCUUUCUCUCUCUCCCUCUCUCUCUCUCUCUGCCUCUCCCUGCUCUUUGUCUCUCUCUUAUCUCUCCCCUCUGUCUCCCUCUGUCCUCGGUGUCUCUCUCACAUCCUCCUCUGUCUCCGCCCCACCUCACGGCACACGUACUCACACCUGCCCCAGACCUUUCCCUCUCCUGAGCUCCCUUUGUCUUGGUCCCUCUCCCGUUGCCUGGUAACAGCCCUCCCCUUCACCAGCUCCGCGGAAACCAUAGCAACGGGCAGCCGGAAGAUGCGGCCAUUCCUCUCCCUUUUGUCCAUUGCAUUUCAGCAGCGCCCGCGCACAUGGACGCUCCAAUUACAGCUCUAGAGGCUAGAAAUUGGCAGUCAGGAUGUGUGUAAGGCCACGCUCCCUCUGAAGACUCCAGGGGAGGAUCUUUCCUUGCCUCCUCCAGCUUCUGGUGGCUGCCAGCAUCCUUGGCAUUCCUUGGCCUGUGGACACAUCACUCUCAUCUCUGCCCAUGGUCACAACCCCAAGCUCCAGAAUACAGACCAGCAGGCGAGGAGACAAGGAGGCAAGCAGAUGGAUGGUGGAACAAAGUGGCAGAGAAAGAGAGAAGAGGAGAGAUGUCUGGACGCCAAGAGGAGUCUGGCUGGGGCCAGUCAGAGAAGAGUCCAGCGGCUGGGCAGCCCGACUCCAGGGGAAGAUCACCUUCCCACUCCAUCCCCCUUCACGCUCCCCAUCCAUCUCACUAAGAGCCAUCUCUACCACUCAAUAAAACCUUGCAUUCAUCCUUCAA